CCUACGGGCGGCAGCAGUGGGGAAUCUUCCGCAAUGGGCGAAAGCCUGACGGAGCAACGCCGCGUGAUCGAAUGAAGGCCUUCGGGUUGUAAAGAUCUGUUGACAGGGACGAAUAAGCCAUGCGAAUAGUUUGGUGUAUGACGGUACCUGUUUAGAAAGCACCGGCUAACUACGUGCCAGCAGCCGCGGUAAUACGUAGGGAGCAAGCGUUGUCCGGAAUUACUGGGCGUAAAGGGCGCGUAGGUGGGUGCUUAAGUCAGGUGUGAACACACUGGGCUCAACCUGGAGACUGCACUUGAAACUGGGUAUCUUGAGGGCAGGAGAGGAAAGUGGAAUGCCUAGUGUAGCAGUGAAAUGCGUAGAUAUUAGGAGGAACACCAGUGGCGAAGGCGACUUUCUGGACUGUACCUGACGCUGAGGCGCGAAAGCGUGGGUAGCGAACGGGAUUAGAUACCCUUGUAGUC
rnacentral:rRNA from 1 species